ensembl:lncRNA
AUGCUCAGGUGAAUAAUUCCAACGUGACCUUUACAAAGGGGUCAGCUGAAGAUAAUCCCAGUGGCUUAGGUUGGCAUCCUGGGGAGAGCCGGCUAAUGGCAACGCAGAGCGCAGCGGAGCAAGUGAACACCGAGCAGACGUCUACGGACGGCGCAUCCCCGCCUGAAGUCUCCAUUCUACCUGAAGAACAAGACCUGACAUCAAUGGAGGGAGCAUGUUGUGAUCCAACCCAAAGACGCCAUCAUGGCAGAACAGCGGGCGGCGAGCAAUCGGAGCCUGAGGAUAUUUUGAGUGAGGGGCAGAAACGGUGCAGAGAGGCUCAAAGCAACAAGAACCCAAAACAGGUACCUUCAAACAUUGGGGAGAACUCUGAAAACACACAGAAUUUUGACAAAGAGGGAGAAUCAAUGUGUGGCUUUGCUAAGACGUACUCAGCCGUGCAACAUGCUGACUUUGGUGAAGAUUUUGAGUCCAAUGAGCCUCCGGAGCCCUCCAAAAGACCCCAAAACCCGACGGACGCAGCGACCUGUCGGCCGUACGUACCAGAGGUCCCAGUGGAGGAGUCCAAUGGACACUCCAUCUCCGACGGCUCCGAAGAGACAGGGCAGGGAGAUGGGAGCAGGAGAAUAUCUAAUGGUAUCCAGCAAGGAGAGCAGCUGCUUCAACGUCUGCAGCUGGUCCAGCUGCGUCAGGACGUGUCUCUACCCGGGAGCCCUGACGCCUCCCAGCAGGCUGUCCGAGAGACACGAGGCGAGACAAGGAGCGCACCUGGGAGUGACGUAGGCGAUUCGAAAGCAAGGGGAGCCCACUUGACGGGUGAGAAUGAGGAAGAAGAGAGCGGGGGAGAGAGAUGGAAGCCGAUGGCGGUGGAAGGGAGUGGGAGGUAUGCCGUGGAACUGGAGGCUGGGAUGUCUUUGUUAAUGCCGACGGUGCAGUCAGGGCAGCACAACACCACCAUGGCAGAGGCAGGAGACUAUGAGGAAGAUCAAAGGGACCCCGGUGAAACCUCCUCCACCCAGAAUCCCUUUCUCUCCACCUGCCACCGACUCUCGGCCUCCGAGGCCUGGGUUGAGGGGCGGAGCCCCAGCGAGGCCCUGGGGAGCCUGCAGAGAGCAAGCGGCAUCUUCGACGUCGCCGAUGAUCCAGACGUGCUGGAGAUCCCCUUCAAGAACCAUAUUACGCUCGACCCCUUCCCCACCGAGGAUGGCGGCGACUGGCAGUUCUCCUCGCAGAAGAUGAAAAAGGAGAUAAGCCAGGAGACGCGGAGGGAGCUGGUGCUGGUCAACCAGGGCAAGAUCCCGGGGGGGUACAGCAAAGGAGAGGUCCGCCAGCGGAAGGAGACAAAGCUCCUGUUCGAGGCCUUCCAGCAGAUCAACACGGAUGGUCCGGCAAGGCCCCCAAGACCCAUCGUGAAAGGUCACGUUUACCCCUCUGUGCUGGAGCGCACCCGCAGCAUGGAGAUGCUGUCGCUCAAAAGUCGGCCCGUCUGCAGAACACAAUCCUUCCGGCUGAUUAAGGAGAGCGAGAAACACGCAGAAAUCCUCAGGCCAUCGAGCCUAAAGAGCGGUUCUCUGGACAAAGCGCGCCCCUCUCACUCCGCAAGACACAAGGAGCGCGCGCAGCCGAGCGGUAGCGCGGACUCCGGCGGGGAUGCCGGGAGCAGAGACACGGAGGCCAACGGCCCGAAAGAAUGUCCCGCCGUCAGGGGAAACCCCUUCUUCAAGCUGCGCCCGGCCCUUGCUCUGAAGCCAGAGGUAGAGAAGGACAUCCGGGAGGCCAAGGAGAGAGAGGAAGAGCUGCGCAGACAGAGAUGCACCCUGUACGGGGAGAACGGGCCGAGGGGUGAAGACGGAGAGGGGUCAAGGUUCAAACCGACGCUCGCCACAGCAGGAGGCAAAGGUUCACCGGGUGGGAGGUCAGAGGGCGUCUCUGUGGCAGCGCUGGGAGUCCGGCCUGAUCAACGGGAAGACGCCAAAGGAAAAAAAAUGAGGUCGGCCAUGUUGAAUAUAUCCACCAUCUGCAAUGCUAGAGCUGCUCCAGUCCAAGAUGGAUCAAUGGAACCGAGGUCCAGAAGUUAGUUCCGGCUUGUACGCUUUUUCUCUCUUCCACUGUGGCUCUGUCUCAGUGUCGACCAGCAGUUUUGAUAUUUUUAAAAGUCUAGGUGUAUUCAGCGGGUAAAUAAAGCAAAAGCGUAACACGUUAAGGGGAAGACGCCAGUCAGUUUACUGCUAUCUUACCGGUUAUGGAUUUUUCUAAUUUCUAUAAACUGUCAAGUUGGAAUGUAAUGUCGUAAUGAAGCUGUCAUUUUUCUCUUUUCAUAAGUUCCCGCAGCAAAUCUCCAUUAGAUCGUUUGCAUUGAGAUUUGAAUAAAUUAGAGAAAAAAAC